AGUGAACGCUGGCGGUAGGCCUAACACAUGCAAGUCGAACGGCAGCACAGUAAGAGCUUGCUCUUACGGGUGGCGAAUGGCGGACGGGUGGGGAAUACAUCGGAAUCUACUUUUUCGUGGGGGAUAACGUAGGGAAACUUACGCUAAUACCGCAUACGACCUACGGGUGAAAGCAGGGGAUCUUCGGACCUUGCGCGAUUGAAUGAGCCGAUGUCGGAUUAGCUAGUUGGCGGGGUAAAGGCCCACCAAGGCGACGAUCCGUAGCUGGUCUGAGAGGAUGAUCAGCCACACUGGAACUGAGACACGGUCCAGACUCCUACGGGAGGCAGCAGUGGGGAAUAUUGGACAAUGGGCGCAAGCCUGAUCCAGCCAUACCGCGUGGGUGAAGAAGGCCUUCGGGUUGUAAAGCCCUUUUGUUGGGAAAGAAAAGCAGCAGGUUAAUACCCCGCUGUUCUGACGGUACCCAAAGAAUAAGCACCGGCUAACUUCGUG
rnacentral:rRNA from 1 species